rnacentral:rRNA from 1 species
GAUGAACGCUGGCGGCGUGCCUAAUACAUGCAAGUCGAGCGAACGGACGAGAAGCUUGCUUCUCUGAUGUUAGCGGCGGACGGGUGAGUAACACGUGGAUAACCUACCUAUAAGACUGGGAUAACUUCGGGAAACCGUAGCUAAUACCGGAUAAUAUUUUGAACCGCAUGGUUCAAAAGUGAAAGACGGUCUUGCUGUCACUUAUAGAUGGAUCCGCGCUGCAUUAGCUAGUUGGUAAGGUAACGGCUUACCAAGGCAACGAUGCAUAGCCGACCUGAGAGGGUGAUCAGCCACACUGGAACUGAGACACGGUCCAGACUCCUACGGGAGGCAGCAGUAGGGAAUCUUCCGCAAUGGGCGAAAGCCUGACGGAGCAACGCCGCGUGAGUGAUGAAGGUCUUCGGAUCGUAAAACUCUGUUAUUAGGGAAGAACAUAUGUGUAAGUAACUGUGCACAUCUUGACGGUACCUAAUCAGAAAGCCACGGCUAACUACGU